UUAAUAUGGUCUUUGAUAGGGACCCAUAUAACCUUAUAUGACCCAAAGACAUGUACAUCCUUAUGGCAUGCCGCUAUUUGCCAUGGUGAAGGAUGUGAGAUUAAUAGUGGAAUUACACACGGGCAUUGGUUUGGCAGGAAUGCAAGGUGUGUGAUGAAACAGUUAUGUCGAUAGCUGAUGGACUUCCAAGGAGAGCCAAUAGUGGAG
rnacentral:lncRNA from 1 species